GUGGGUGUCGCCUAGUUGGUUAGGGCGCCAGAUUGUGGAUCUGGAGGUCGAGGGUUCGAGUCCCUUCAUCCACCCCA
rnacentral:tRNA from 1 species